rnacentral:tRNA from 1 species
GGGACUAUGGCUUAGUGGUAAAGUGUUUGCCUUGCAUGCAUGAAGCCGUAGGUUCAAUUCCUCAGUACCA